UACGAAGGGGGCUAGCGUUGUUCGGAAUUACUGGGCGUAAAGCGCACGUAGGCGGGUCUGUAAGUAGGGGGUGAAAUCCCAGAGCUCAACUCUGGAAUUGCCUUCUAGACUGCGGAUCUGGAGGUCAGGAGAGGCGAGUGGAAUACCGAGUGUAGAGGUGAAAUUCGUAGAUAUUCGGUGGAACACCAGUGGCGAAGGCGACUCGCUGGACUGAUACUGACGCUGAGGUGCGAAAGCGUGGGGAGCAAACAGG
rnacentral:rRNA from 1 species